rnacentral:rRNA from 1 species
AGCUGGCUGAUCAAAGUCCCCUGUUAAACCCACGAAUCCAUCGUUGGAUUCGGGGUAUACUGCUCGGUAGGGGACGAGAGAGUCCGACGGUAUUUUCGGGUAGGGUGAAUUCCUAUAAUCCCGGGAAGACCACCGUUGGCGAAGGCUGUCGGCUAGAACGCGCCCAACGGUGAGGGAUGAAAGCUGGGGGAGCGAACCGGAUUAGAUACCCGGGUAGUCCCAGCUGUAAACGAUGCAGGCUAGGUGUUUGGGCGGCCACGCGCCGCUCUAGUGCCGCAGGGAAGCUGUUAAGCCUGCCGCCUGGGGAGUACGGCCGCAAGGCUGAAACUUAAAGGAAUUGGCGGGGGAGCACCACAAGGGGUGAAGCUUGCGGUUUAAUUGGAGUCAACGCCGGAAAUCUCACCGGGGGCGACAGCAGGGUGAAGGCCAGAUUAAAGGUCUUGCCAGACGAGCUGAGAGGAGGUGCAUGGCCGUCGCCAGUUCGUGCCGUGAGGUGUCCUGUUAAGUCAGGCAACGAUCGAGACCCGCGUCCUCUGUUGUACUAGCCUUGUGCUGGGCACACUGAGGAGACCGCCGCUGAUAAAGCGGAGGAAGGAGCGGGCCACGGCAGGUCAGUAUGCCCCGAAUCUCCCGGGCCACACGCGAGCUGCAAUGGCAGGUACAAUGGGUUCCGACCUCGAAAGGGGGAGGCAAUCCCGAAAGCCUGCCGUAGUUGGGAUUCGAGGGUUGAAACUCACCCUCGUGAACAUGGAAUCCUAGUAAUCGCGUGUCAUAGCGCGCGGUG